GUGUUAAAACAUAUUGUAAAGUAAAUUGUGUAGAUGGCAAAUAAUAUAAUUUCCUAUUUGUUUGCAAUGGCAUCUCAUCAGUGAUACAAAAAUAUGAUGGUUUACCUUUGCUAGCGCUUAAUAGCAUAGGAAGUAGCCCACAUGUGAAAUGCUUUGCCUCUGAUCUCAAACCAUUAAGUUGUAUCGUCUAUUUUUGUUGAACAUAUUUAUUGAAUAUCAGUUCAAUGUCAUUACCAAAUGAUAACAUAAUGCACAAUGGUGAUGAGCAGGCCUGUUGUAUUAUUUUCACUGUGUUUAAAAUGUGGAAGUGGUAAACAACAGGAAAUUAUAUAUUUUUAAUUGCUCAUCUCAAACCUAAGCAGAAAGCAGGUUUCUCAAGUCAACGUUGACACAGACAUUACCUUACAGAGAUAUUUAAUAUAAAGUUCAAUAAAUACACUUAUAUAUACUCACUCGACAUAAUGGGAAAACAGAAAAAGGGGUCAAGCAACUUAAAUAUAAAAAAGCAUGAGCUAAAACCUCAGAUUCACACCCCUCACUUUAAACACAUUUACACAUAAACUUACCAUUCCUUUUAAUACGGUCUCACUGUAGCCAUGGAUGUUUAAUAAGAACAGUUCUAGGCCUACUUUUUCACAUUCCCUAUCAGUUUAGUCUAUGGCGCCCUCUAAAGGCUGUCUAAAUACUAGCAUUUUCAUGAGUAUUGCAGUAGUAGCCUAGCCUAGAAAUCUAGACGCCCCUAACGGCAGCAAAUUCAAUUUUUAGCCUUCUGUCGUCGUUUUUCGCUGCUGAAAACAGAAAAUGUGUCAGGCCAAUCAGAUCGUGAGGGGCGGUAUCCCGCCGAAUGACGACAGAGCUGCGACGGUUCCGUGUUAAGGUAAUCAAUAAUGGCUGCAGCUGCUGGCGAACAGCUGUCUUUCUACUCGGCUUUGGCCGCGACUCUUCAAGACUUGAAGUUAUCAUUUUCUUUGAGCAAUGAACAAAGAACUGCACUGAAGUCUUUCCUGGAAAAGAAAGAUGUAUUCGGAGUUUUGCCGACCGGAUACGGUAAAAGUUUCGUCGUUGGUCUCCAUUCUCUCUAUCCACCAAUCGCACUAUGAUCAGAGAAUGUCUAAUAUGAGACGGGCUCUGCUAUGAUCGCAACACUUCCCCAUGGAAAUUUCCGUCGCUCUGACUACGUCACCUUCUUCGUUGCUCUGAUUGGUUGUAGCGCUAUCCUAUUGCGUGCAGAGGGAACUUGGAAGACAACCGUUUAUCCCGCCCACACUGCCAGCGUUACGAGACCAGACCCAAUAUCUUUCCGAUAUGGGUCUGGCUUGCCAGGCUAGUAGUAGCCUCCUUCAUGGAUACAAUAAGUAAAUAUGUGCAAUUUAUGAUUAACUUUAAUAAACUUUGGUAACUUGUAAUUACCGAUAAUUAAUGGUAAUACACCCUUCCCUCUUGUUACCCUCAUGUGAAAGAGCUUCAGCCAAUUUUUUUUUUUUUAUACAUUCAUAUUUUGCUGCUGCUGUUGGCAUUGUUUCAUCCCGUACUCAUCUGAAAAAGUUUUGUUAUUUUGCCCGUUUGUUGACGGUGGGCUAGUGUACGUCCACAUCACCAGCCUCCUCACCACAUCUGGGAGAGGCCCUCACUGAGGAGUAGGUCACUGCAUCGCUGGAACCGUCCUCAUCCUAUAGCGUGA
ensembl:lncRNA